rnacentral:rRNA from 1 species
AGUGAACGCUGGCGGUAGGCCUAACACAUGCAAGUCGAACGGCAGCACAGUAAGAGCUUGCUCUUACGGGUGGCGAGUGGCGGACGGGUGAGGAAUACAUCGGAAUCUACUUUUUCGUGGGGGAUAACGUAGGGAAACUUACGCUAAUACCGCAUACGACCUACGGGUGAAAGCAGGGGAUCUUCGGACCUUGCGCGAUUGAAUGAGCCGAUGUCGGAUUAGCUAGUUGGCGGGGUAAAGGCCCACCAAGGCGACGAUCCGUAGCUGGUCUGAGAGGAUGAUCAGCCACACUGGAACUGAGACACGGUCCAGACUCCUACGGGAGGCAGCAGUGGGGAAUAUUGGACAAUGGGCGCAAGCCUGAUCCAGCCAUACCGCGUGGGUGAAGAAGGCCUUCGGGUUUAAAGCCCUUUUGUUGGGAAAGAAAAGCAGCAGGUUAAUACCCCGCUGUUCUGACGGUACCCAAAGAAUAAGCACCGGCUAACUUCGUG